AGUGGCGAACGGGUGAGUAAAGUAUCGGAACGUGCCCAGUCGUGGGGGAUAACGUAGCGAAAGUUACGCUAAUACCGCAUACGAUCUAUGGAUGAAAGCGGGGGAUCGCAAGACCUCGCGCGAUUGGAGCGGCCGAUAUCAUAUUAGGUAGUUGGUGGGGUAAAGGCUCACCAAGCCGACGAUCUGUAGCUGGUCUGAGAGGACGACCAGCCACACUGGGACUGAGACACGGCCCACACUCCUACGGGAGGCAGCAGUGGGGAAUUUUGGACAAUGGGCGCAAGCCUGAUCCAGCCAUGCCGCGUGCAGGAUGAAGGCCUUCGGGUUGUAAACUGCUUUUGUACGGAACGAAAAGGUUUGGCCUAAUAAGCUGAGCUCAUGACGGUACCGUAAGAAUAAGCACCGGCUAACUACGUGCCAGCAGCCGCGGUAAUACGUAGGGUGCGAGCGUUAAUCGGAAUUACUGGGCGUAAAGCGUGCGCAGGCGGUUAUGUAAGACAGAUGUGAACUCCCCGGGCUCAACCUGGGAACUGCAUUAGUGACUGCAUAGCUGGAGUACGGCAGAGGGGGGAUGGAAUUCCGCGUGUAGCAGUGAAAUGCGUAGAUAUGCGGAGGAACACCGAUGGCGAAGGCACUCCCCUGGGCCUGUACUGACGCUCAUGCACGAAGCGUGGG
rnacentral:rRNA from 1 species